rnacentral:rRNA from 1 species
UAGGGAAUUUUCGGCAAUGGGGGAAACCCUGACCGAGCAACGCCGCGUGAAGGAAGAAGUAAUUCGUUAUGUAAACUUCUGUCAUAGAGGAAGAACGGUGGAUAUAGGGAAUGAUAUCCAAGUGACGGUACUCUAUAAGAAAGCCACGGCUAACUACGUGCCAGCAGCCGCGGUAAUACGUAGGUGGCGAGCGUUAUCCGGAAUUAUUGGGCGUAAAGAGGGAGCAGGCGGCACUAAGGGUCUGUGGUGAAAGAUCGAAGCUUAACUUCGGUAAGCCAUGGAAACCGUAGAGCUAGAGUGUGUGAGAGGAUCGUGGAAUUCCAUGUGUAGCGGUGAAAUGCGUAGAUAUAUGGAGGAACACCAGUGGCGAAGGCGACGAUCUGGCGCAUAACUGACGCUCAGUCCCGAAAGCGUGGGGAGCAAACAG